GACGAACGCUGGCGGCGUGCCUAAUACAUGCAAGUCGAACGCAGUGGGGACGGGGGAGUAACCCGUGGGUAACCUCCCAACAGAGGGGAUAACACUUGGAAACAGGUGCUAAACCGAUACUGAUGGAUGGACCCGCGUUGCAUUAGCUAGGUGGUGUGGUAACGGCUCACCAAGGCCACGAUGCAUAGCCGACCUGAGAGGGUGAUCGGCCACACUGGGACUGAGACACGGCCCAGACGCCUACGGGAGGCAGCAGUAGGGAAUCUUCGGCAAUGGGCGAAAGUCUGACCGAGCAACGCCGCGUGAGUGAAGAAGGUUUUCGGAUCGUAAAACUCUGUUGUUAGAGAAGCGGUAUCUAACCAGAAAGCCACGGCUAACUCCGUGCCAGCAGCCGCGGUAAUAC
rnacentral:rRNA from 1 species